UGUCCUGGUUCAAUAAUCGUUUUAAUGUUUUCGAUGACCGCUUGUCGCCUGCUGGCAUGAUGGCGUAUGCGCGGCUAGUGCUCGCCGGAUGGGGUGGUUCUUUGCGCAAGCGAAUCAAACGUAUCAGGAACAAAAGAAAAUUUACAUGCCAGACUGAUAAGGUAAAAGAAAAAGGUAUGUUUGACCCGAAAAAGAAACGUACUAAUCUAAUAUGGCUAAAUAAAAAGGGCAAGCACCACACCUACCUGUUGGAAGCCUUCUCGCCUGGUGUUCUGGCGAGGAUAAUGCCCUCCCUCUGGAGUCGGAGCUCCACCAUAGCAACUUUCAAGUCAGUUGCCCCGUACCUACCUCUUCAUCUUAUCACCCCCUUCCUAUCUCCUCCUCCCUAAGAUCUACAUGAUCUCAAUAAAAUUCAUUGUCUCUUCGUAAACGUUACAAACAUUCCAGGUAGUCUCUUUAUUUAUAAAAGAUGGUUAAUUUAUGAUGACCACAUGAAAAAUUCAGAACAAAAACAAGAGGCAUCAUCCAAAAUUCAUAAUAAAAAAAGGAAAAACUCGAAACAUUAUGGCUUUAACUUCUUAUCUCAACUUUUCUACAUUAGCUUAGCAAAAAAAAAAAAAAAAAAUAAAUUUAAAGACAGUAUAAAAGAAUCAUAUGUAGGUGGGUAUGCUAGCUUCGAACAGAUCUAAUGGCAUCUCUUCUCUUCCUUCGGGGCUUCUGCCGCUGAGCAAGUUAGGCUGUGCCCACAAUGGCAGCUUACUCCGUCUGUCCGUCUAUGUCCGUCCGAACAGUGUAAGGUUAAAGGUAAGUAAAAGGGGUAUUAUAUAAAAAUAAAAGGGGUAUUUGGAAUUAGAUUUUUUUUUAUCUCAUAUCUGAUUUCUUUUCUUCUUCUUUUUAGGCCUUUACCACGCCCGAAAGGACGGCCUCUUCUAGGUACUAAUUUGGAACAAGGAUCCCUAUGGAGACUUCCUACCUGCCUAGAAAGAGCUCUAUCUAUUGGGGAAGGGUAAAUACCAUGUAGUACGGUUGACGGUAUAAUCAAAGAUAAGUACCCUAGAAAAAAAAUGCCUGCCUUUUCAAAAAAAAACUAAUUUCCUUUUUUUUUCUUUUAUUUUUAGGUAAUAUGUACGUCCGUCCGUCCGAAGGUUUAGUUUUAAGUAUUAUGUUAAGGGUCUUUGUAAGCCGUCACCUGGAGCACUGCGGUCUGCGAGUGCUUUUGAAGGAAGUCCCACGCUGGUGCAGAGAUGAGCCGUUGCUAUCAGAAGCUUUUGUUUUUUUUUUUCUCUUUUCUUUUUUUUUUUGCAAUAAAGGAAACGAAUGAUUUUGCUUUGGUCUGUUUUUUUUUUCUUUUAGAAUUCAGAUCAUUUUCUUGUUCAUCAUUUAAAAUAAAAGUGCCUUUUUCAAUGUUAGGCUUUUAGAGGUUUCAUCCCUCUUUGGAUUGUUCGGUUUUGUGUCAUCAUCCACUUGCUAUGCAGUCUUUGUAGCAAUGCAACACAACAACACCAACACUACACGACCGCGGCUGCACUUUUUUUUUAAUUCUUUUUUUUUUCUUGCUCGUUAAGCUCACUUCCAGUUGUCUUCUCGGCUCACCUCCGGCUUGCUGCACAGUCCAAAUCAAAAAGAAAGAUUUCCUUUCCUAGGACAGUGGCCUAUGUUGUCAUUUUGUUCAUCAUGGCGCUCUUCCCAGACCGAACUUCCUCUGAUGGGCCAAA